ACGUGAUUGUGGGAUCUGAUGGUGGCAAUUUGGUAAAACCGUAAAAGCGAGGAUUUGAUCUCUUCUCAAAUUUUCAAGUCUUCUUCGUCUCGGCUUCCGUCUGAAAGUUCCCGGAAAUGUUUCAAUAUGGGCGAUUUCGAGAUGUCGACGGCCUUGAAGAAUGCCUAUGCGUAUGAGGCCGCAAUACGGCGAAAGAAGCGGUGGCGUUGAUCAUGGUUUUGGAGAAGAAAGCCUCAGAUUGGAGAACCAGACGCUGUAGUGAUAAUCAAAGAUAUUGGGUAAGAGUUGCGAGAAGUUACAAGUAAAUUGGAGAAAGUGAUGAACAGGAAAUACAAACUGUGAAUGAGAAUAAAUUGGUGGGAAAUAUUACUACCAAGAUAGACAUAUCAUUACGGCCUCAGAAUUCUCUUGGUCGUAGUGAGUCCACGAUUAUCUUAAAUGGUUCUCCUCUGGAACAAGCGACAUCUCAUGACUUGUGGAAUGGACAUGUCAGGCUAAUGAUUCCUCUCAUGAAAUACUUAGCAGAACUGCAGAAGAGAUGAUAAAACCUAAGCGACAUGAGCAAACGUGUGUGUUGAAUAUGAACGUGAUGCAGAAAGAUGAUACUGAUACUUGAGUGAGACUUUUCAGAAAAAGAAAAAGAGUACUCAGACAUGGGAUUAAAUAUUAUCCUUUAAACAGGCAACGUUUAAACAUUUACUUUCUCAAGCACACAGUUUGUAGAAAGCACAAGGACUUGUUGAAUAAUUCAGAUGGUAAUUCUUCUUGAAAUUGGAGCAUUUAAAAAGGAAGAUGGGGACGGUAGAGACUUAGAACAGAAGCUUCAUGGUUGAAAUAUUUUAAGACAGUCGGCAACCACCAUGCUUAGCACGUCAGCUUGAUCCAGGCCAAAAUGGUGGCAGUGUUAUGUACAAUACAGAACUGGAUAAGGUUGGAGGAAGAAGCCCUUCCAUUAAUUUUUAAGAUAGUUUUGAGUAAGCUGUAAUGUUCACUACAUCUAACAGUUGAAAGUCUGAAAGUUACCGAGGGUUAAAGUCGGUAGGUGGAAAUGGAAAAGGGUAAAUAUUCUCUCCCAUCCAUGAUUAACUUUUUCAGAUCAGUUUGAUGUGAUACGGCAACAGCAAGCACGGAAAACUCUAAAAUCAAUUUUUUCUUCUGUAA